GCCUUCGUAGUGUAGUGGUCAGCACACUCGGCGCUUAUUCGAGAGACCCAUGGUUCGAGUCCAGGCGAAGGCG
rnacentral:tRNA from 1 species